AUUGAACGCUGGCGGCAUGCCUAACACAUGCAAGUCGAGCGGAUGAAGGGGGCUUUCUCUUGGCUUCAGUGGGCGACGGGCGAGUGAUUCCUAGGAAUCUGCCCUACAUUUGGGGCUGACGUCCGUAAACGGGCCCUAAUACCACACCCGUUCUGAGGGUGAAAGUCGGGGAUCUUCGGUCCUCACGCUUUCUGAUGAGCCUAGGCUGGAUUAGCUAGUUGGUAGGGUAAAGGCUUACCAAGGCGACGAUCCGUAACUGGUCUGAGAGGCUGAUCAGACACACUGGAACUGAGACACGGUCCAGACUCCUACGGGAGGCAGCAGUGGGGAAUGUUGGGCAAUGGGCGAAAGCCUGAUCCAGCCACGCCGCGUGUGUGAAGAAGGUCUUCGGAUCGUAAAGCACUUUAAGUUGGGAGGAAGAGCAGUAUGUGAAUACGUGGCUGUCUUGACGGUACCAACAGAAUAAGCACCGGCUAACUACGUG
rnacentral:rRNA from 1 species